CAGAGCAGCCAUUUCAUACCGACCUCUGCUAGGAGAAGUGAACUGGUGAGAGUUCAUCUGCAUAUGGUCUGAAGAAAAACCUCAGGAGAAACAAUGGAUAAAAGAAAUAAGUGUUGUGAAACUGAAAUAGGAUGACGCCAGUCAGGCCACAUGACCUUGGAUGCUUCCUUGUGUCCUUUCCUGCUUGUUUGUGAAUGCCUUUUUCCUCCAGUUCAGGCACUCUUCUGUUUCGGCAAACACAAAUAACAGCCUUCUACUUUGGUCUAAGGGAACAACAAAGAAAGCAGAAAGAACAAAUGUAACUUUCUGUGAGCAACCAGUCUGAUCUUUAACAGGCUCUGAUCUUUAACAGCAACUCGGAACAAAAUGGCUAAUGCCUCUGUGAACAGGCUGAGUGCUUCCAGCUUUCCAGGAAGGAAAAGGCACGAUUUACUGCAGCAUUAAAACAUCAGUGCUUCUCGUUCUCUUCACCAUCACUUCAAAGUCACCAGUCAAUGAUUUCAACUUCCCAAGAAGUUCAUUGUGACUUGCUCUGUGAGCAUUGAAGUAGCCAGCAUAACUGUGGGUCAAACUGUUUUGAUUUGUAUUUCCAGUUACACUACAACUGAAUGUACAGAAGAGGUAAUUGAAUUGACCAUGCACAGGAAAUGGAGAAGCUUGUAUGCUGCUCUGAUUAAAGGGGAAGAAAAUGAAGAAAGGUAUUAUAACAGUCUCAUUUCUUCUUUCUCUCUCAGAAGUGAUGGAUUUGGAAAAUUUUAGGGGGGAUAAUUUUAAUUUCACCACUGUCCCAUGUGCACAAAGGGUAUUGGUCAGCCAACACAUCUCACCUUUAAAAGUUGACAC